UGAAGUAAAAAGUCGUAACAAGGUUUCCGUAGGUGAACCUGCGGAAGGAUCAUUACAGAGUGCGGGCCCCUCGGGGCCCAACCUCCCACCCGUGUUGCCCGAACCUAUGUUGCCUCGGCGGGCCCCGCGCCCGCCGACGGCCCCCCUGAACGCUGUCUGAAGUUGCAGUCUGAGACCUAUAACGAAAUUAGUUAAAACUUUCAACAACGGAUCUCUUGGUUCCGGCAUCGAUGAAGAACGCAGCGAAAUGCGAUAACUAAUGUGAAUUGCAGAAUUCAGUGAAUCAUCGAGUCUUUGAACGCACAUUGCGCCCUCUGGUAUUCCGGAGGGCAUGCCUGUCCGAGCGUCAUUGCUGCCCUCAAGCCCGGCUUGUGUGUUGGGCCCCGUCCCCCCCGCCGGGGGGACGGGCCCGAAAGGCAGCGGCGGCACCGCGUCCGGUCCUCGAGCGUAUGGGGCUUCGUCACCCGCUCUAGUAGGCCCGGCCGGCGCCAGCCGACCCCCAACCUUUAAUUAUCUCAGG
rnacentral:rRNA from 1 species